rnacentral:rRNA from 1 species
AAGGUCUUAUGGAUUGUAAACUUCUUUUGUAAGGGAAGAAAACGGUAUCUAGUAUAUCAACUGACGGUACCUUACGAAUAAGCAUCGGCUAACUCCGUGC